CCUACGUGAGGCAGCAGUGAGGAAUAUUGGUCAAUGGCCGGAAGGCUGAACCAGCCAAGCCGCGUGAAGGACGAAGGUGCCAAGCAUUGUAAACUUCUUGUGUCAAGGGACAAAAUCAGGCUCGAGAGCCUGACCGAGGGUACUGGAAGAAAAAGCAUCGGCGAACUCCGUGCCAGGAGCCGAGGGAAUACGGAGGAAGCGAGCGUUAUCCGGAUUUAUUGGGUGUAAAGGGUGCGUAGGCGGGCUGUUAAGUCAGCGGUAAAAUCCCGGGGCUCAACCCCGGCGAGCCGUUGAAACUGGCUGUCUUGAGAUGUCGAGAGGUAUGCGGAAUGCGCAGUGUAGCGGUGAAAUGCUUAGAUAUUGCGCAGAACUCCGAUUGCGAAGGCAGCAUACCGGCGGCGAUCUGACGCUGAGGCACGAAAGCGUGGGUAUCGAACAGGAUUAGAUACCCGGGUAGUC
rnacentral:rRNA from 1 species